rnacentral:rRNA from 1 species
AGUGAACGCUGGCGGUAGGCCUAACACAUGCAAGUCGAACGGCAGCACAGUAAGAGCUUGCUCUUACGGGUGGCGAGUGGCGGACGGGUGAGGUAUACAUCGGAAUCUACUUUUUCGUGGGGGAUAACGUAGGGAAACUUACGCUAAUAUCGCAUACGACCUACGGGUGAAAGCAGGGGAUCUUCGCACCUUGCGCGGUUGAAUGAGCCGAUGUCGGAUUAGCUAGUUGGCGGGGUAAUGGCCCACCAAGGCGACGAUCCGUAGCUGGUCUGAGAGGAUGAUCAGCCACACUGGAACUGAGACACGGUCCAGACUCCUACGGGAGGCAGCAGUGGGGAAUAUUGGACAAUGGGCGCAAGCCUGAUCCAGCCAUACCGCGUGGGUGAAGAAGGCCUUCGGGUUGUAAAGCCCUUUUGUUGGGAAAGAAAAGCAGCAGGUUAAUACCCCGCUGUUCUGACGGUACCCAAAGAAUAAGCACCGGCUAACUUCGUG